rnacentral:tRNA from 1 species
AAUGAGAUGCCUGAAUAAAGGAUUAUUUUGAUAGAAUAAAUCAUGUAGAUUAUCUACUCUCAUUA